AUGCCUUUAUGGUGAGAGUUCUCAACUUUAGCUGCACAAAAAUGUGCAGCGACAUGGACGCCUUUGCCCUUUCCUGCCUCCCCUCCAAUUUCUGAUGUUUCUUAAAGCACCCAGGUUGAAACCACAGCUGGAUGCAGUGUCUCAGAGGGUGGCCAGUGCAAUCUGGAAUUAGCCUCCACUUGUGAUAAGGAUCAAUCCCAGAACCUGGAACCUGAGCUACAACCCUCUGAAUAUACUUUCUGAAGGCUUUGUUUUACUGUUUGCAGAGGUAUAUCCAGACAUGUUUGACCAAGUGAAAAUCAAUGUCACCUUUUGGGAAAGCAAUUUGGUAAUAUUAAAGAAAAAUGCAUGUUCAUUUGUCUAGGAAUAUAAUCUGUAGAUACUGAAGAUGCACCAUAAAACAAUUUUCACUUCAGAUGUUUUUUGUCAUAAUAAGCGAUGGGAAGAAGAGACUAGAGCCCAUCAAUAGAACUUACGAGCAUAUUAUGAUUGUGGAGCCAUUAAAGUUAACAGGUAGAUCACAUGUUCUGAAAUGGAGCAAUACAUGAUUAAAUGAAAAAGGAAUGUGUGUAGUGUGCUUCCACUUUGUGGGGUAAAAUGUAUA